UGCCAGGAGCAAUGGAGGGUUGUUCUGGUUUUACAGCUAUAUAAAAAGAGUAUAAUCAGUUAAAGCUGCCACUGUGCAUACAUUCUAAUCAGGAUGAUUCCCUUCAACUCUUUAUCAAUGAAUGGCAUUAUUCAACACGUGUAAUCCUUCCGAGAUUAAGAAUCAUUAGAUAAUAAGCUAUGCCUUGGUGGAUCUGCAACAUCUGCAGUUUCCUGGUCACAGAAAUGCAUUUGUCACAGAGAGUAAAGAGAGGAAACAGGCAACCCGUCCCCAGCUGAAAACCUUACGAACAGAGGGACCUCAGGGAGGAGGCCAACUCUGCACACUGUUUUAUCCCUUGCACAGGGAAAGGGUAGAUGCUUAAAAAUAAUCUGCCGAGAUCCUGGGUUUUAAAAGACAGCCCCCCCUCGAAAAUAUAAACAAACAAAAACAACAAAAAACCCACAAACACAACACACUGCAAUACUUGUGGGUUUUCAAAGCGGAAAGGAAGGCACCUUGAGAGCAGCGAGGGCAGCUCACCCCUGCGAGCAGCUCGCCCCGCGCUCACCCGCCGCGUCUAUCUCGUCACAACGGGUUUAAUUGUGCAUUGACACCAGCAGGCAGCGAGACGACAGGCGGCCCCAAGGAAGAGAUUUAUCCCCUCGUGCAGGGCAGUUUGAUAAGAGACGUCGGCUCUGCGCGGCCGCACAAUGGCUUUUUUAUUUGUUUGCUUAAUACUGGGCUGUUUCAGAAGCGUGCGCAGCUGAACCGGCAGGAGAUGCAAACAGAGCGCGCUCGUUUGGGAAUUACGGGGGUGGCGAUGAACAGGAAAAACAGCCCCUGUCUUCUUCACAGGGAAGUCAGCUGAUAAACUGAUCUGAAGGCAACGUAUCUUCCUUCCUGUAAAACGCAAUAACAGGCAGAUCUUGUGACCUCGGUGGCCCUCUGCCGCGUUGAUUCCUGGCUGGGGAGGGGAAGGGGGAAGCUUUCCUUGGCAAGCGUCGCGUGGGCCCUGCAUGAAUCACGCGGCCACGCCGACAGCGCCAGCCAACAAAGCCGGCGCAGUGGGCCGCGCCGCCCUCGGAGCAGGCCCCUGCGCGGGGAGAUAAGCUGCAGCAGCCCUUUCAUCACACAUCCGCUGUGGCCUUCCCGUUGCAGCCGCCGGCUGGGCCCGGAGGACAGGACGGGCAGAAAGGGAGAGCCAGGGGCUGUGGUGUCCUCUCCUGGGCAGGGCUUUCCCCGCGGCUCUGGGUGGAGGGCACGGAGCAGCACGCCGUUUGUGCCAUCCCGCUGUGCGUGCUGCUUUUGCCCCAGCCGAUCCCCUCCCUCCCCGCCUUGGCAGCGUGCGGCAGAGUAAACAUCAUAAAGAACAUAAAAAGGAGUUUUCCUGAGUUUUCCCUCAAGUUCCCCGGCAACGGAAAGCUUUUGCAGGACUUGCUGACUGUUCUUUGCUCCUGUGGAGGGAUCAAGAGCUGUGGAUACUUAGGAUUGCUGGAAGUCAGACUGACCAACUAAACUUCUCAGCACUGAUUAGAGAGAUCUGAUUGGCAGAGCUGGAUUAUGCUGUGCAGUAACUGUCAAGACAAGACAGGACAAGUAUCAGCCCUUCAACUUUAAACUGUUUGUUGAGAUCUUUCAUGACAUAAACCUGUUUCACGCUGGUGUGAGGAGAAAGACAGAUGCAAACUUGAAAAGAAAAUUGCAAGCUCACCUGGAAACUAAUUGCUUUUAGAGUGUUUGUCCUCUGAUAAAGAAGUCUUUACAGGUUCUCUCAUAUUUUGAACAGAAAGACAGGCCUAUUCAGCAGAGAAUCAGAGAAGAUCAACAUACCCAGGAACUUGCAAAACAAGCCAAACGUUCAAGCACCCUGUGUUCCCAAAGCACACAUCAGCUUCCAUGCUUGUGAAAUGCUGUUGACUUCCAGAAGACCCUUUACCUGCUCUGCUCUUUGGAAGAAAAAGAAUAAUGCUUUUUUUGUUCCCUGUGAAAUUUUUCAGGGACGAAGGGAGCUGUUGAAGGCAACGUGGCACUCAUGUAGCUUUUUGUCUCUGCUAAUGUCAACUAUGUAUUCACUAUAAUCAGCCAGUGUGAAGGUCUCUCUGAUGUGUAUCAGAGAGACAGCUUACUCCACACCGCUCUGUCCCACUGGCUUCCAAAUGACUUUUCUAGUAAUCGUAUUUGAAAGGACAAUCAUUUUUGCCUUGGAUUAGUCUAAAAGCCUUUCCCUCAUUAACCCAUUUUUCCUCCCAUGCCUGAGGCAGCCUAAGAUGAAAAGGUACUGGAUGUUUUCAAUUAUUUGUUUACUCAGUACUUUGUAUACCACCUUCCAUGAAAGGAUGGGGACGUCCCCAGCCCUGAUACAUUCAGCCCUUUGGUCCCCUUCCUCCCUUCAUCUGGCAGUUAUGAGCACUGUUGAUUUUAAGGUAACCUGCUGUGUUGCAGCUCUACCUGCAUUGCAUCAGAUGUGCAAGUGAUUUUAAAUGAAAAUGAGCAAAUCACUGCAGAGCCUCCCCAAGUGUGUGUAGAGGGAGUUGUAUAACUGAUUUAAAGAAGAAAAAUAAAAAAGAGAGAGAGAGAGAGAGAUGGACUGCUGGCAAGAAGGGAAAAAAUAAACCCAGGGCAAGGAGGAAGUGCUCAGAAGGCCGGAGAAAAUAGUGCUUUAGUCAUUGUGCAUGAAGGGCUUUUAGGAAAAAAAUCAGCAGAAAACCAGCACUUGGGAGCAGAGAGGCAGUGGUUUCAUGCCAUACACCAGGACUCAUGCUAACACAGAGCGUCACUAUUAAGAAAGGAGGAGGGUAAUGGGGGAACAAUGAGGCCAUACCUGGAGAAAAAAUGGAUAAACUGGAAAAAAAACAAAGGCAGUGAAGAGGAAGAGCCACAGAGAAAUGGGGAAAAAGAAGUAAAAUUAAAUAGGAACAAUGUGAAAAGGAAGAGAAAGGAAAAGAAAUUAAAAGGAGAAUUUUUAAAGUGAUGGAUUUUACUUCAGAUUUAAUUUCUUCAACAUGUAUUACAAAGUUGGAUUCCACACUGAAGUUUAACACAGGACUGCUGCUUUGAACUGCCAUCCUUGGGAAAGAUAACCUAAAAUAUGUAGAUGAGAUUCUCUGUCUUGUCCACUAACAAGCAUAAACAUCAGUCUUGGAUCAAAGCAAACCAGUAAAUGACUCAAAGUUUGGACUGUUGGGCUUGGUUUGCUCCCAGCAAAGGGAACAUGGCUGAUACAGAAAAUAUUUCCUCCUGGAGUGACUCCAUGGAAAGACUAAGUGCCAGGCACAUACCAGGAACACGGGAUAGUGCAAGGGUUGCAAUGUGCAUUCUCAGUGUAGUCCUGAACAGUAGUCUCUGGAUAAGUGCAAGUCCUGAGUCAUGCUGUGAGCACUGUUUGAAUAAUUGACCAAACAGCCUGAAAACGGAUACCCUUUCCUUCAGCAGAAGGGAUAUUUUUCUUAAUUUAAAUAUAUGUACAAUAUAUAUGAAAACAAAUUAAUAUGCUAUUGUAAAGAUAAGUGUAAAGAUGUACAGAUGUUUGAGUGAAUUGUGAGGUUUCCUCUUGUGCACCAUGUUAAUUGGAAGUUAUGUGGGUUUUUUGGAAAACCAAGUUCAGCAAAAUGCAGCCACAUGUUAGCGCAGACCAUCUUUGGACAAGACCAUGGGCUAUAUUCAUCCCUUAUGACCAACCUUUAGCGGGUCAUCAUGGAAUGGAUCAACACUGUGGUGAGGUCUAAUGAGACAUGCAGAAAGGAAGGGCAAUGUGGGGUGUACUGGUAUUCCUAUGGGAAGUCUACAACCUUUGUCAGUCCUGGUUUUGUACUGGGGCUGUGUAGUUCAGAGAUGAAAGCAACAUCUGUUGCUCAUGAAAGACUUAGGUUGUGGCAUUAGUCACAACAAACUAAGAAGUCUUGCACUGAUUUUUGGCACAAAUGCACUUUAAGGGAGUAGGGUAUGUUUUAUUGCUUUUCUAAAUGUGAAACAAAGCUUUGUGGCUGUGUUCCCUUUAAAAGAAAAUCACCUUGCCAUUGAAAGAAAAUGUAGUCACAUUACCAUAGCUGUAUUGAUAAUGUUUCCCGAUUUAAGUGUUCCUGUACAUUAAACUCUUAAGCAAAUUUA